CAAAAACUAAAAGGGAAGUGAGGAAACAGCAGGGAAGGAGUAUGGUGGGGGCUGGGGUAGAUGCCCCUGAGCCAAGCCUGCCCAGCGAAUCAGAGCUGCUUAAAGCUGGCGAUAGCCAGCUCAUAAUGUUGAACUUGAAAGCUUUCUCCCUCCUCCAAGAUGAUGUAGGUACAUGAGGUUUAGGUUAAAAGGGUUGGGUGGGGCACACUUUAUUUUUAUUUUUGUAUUGUGUGUGUGUCAAGAAUUACUCCAUUGUUCAUCUUGCUUUUUGCACUCUUUGUUCCCUUUUCUGUGUUUUGAGCUAGUGCAGAGUUUGCCUGGAAUUGGAAGCUGUGAAUGGUAACAGGCAGGUGGGGAGGAGAGACCCAGGUUUUCUGUCUGAACUACAGUCUGACCCAGCUGGCAGACAUAGAUAGAUAAGGGCAUACAGCUCCUUUUUGUCAGAAGGUGGUCCUCUUAAAGUUUGUGGGAGGAGCAAGCAAGGCCGGCUGGGUUGAGUCUGCAAGCCCAGCGUGGUUUAGGUCAGGCCAACUGGCCUCUGACUGGUUUGCUUUGGGUUUUAUUCAAGCUAUCUUAAACAUUGUGCCAAUAAGUGAUUUGUGGUAUUCAUAUCUCCUAAACCAGAUUUAUGGUUCUGGAGUGUUUCCACUCCCAAAGACACGAUGCUCAGUGGACACUCACAGUUCUGAUGGCUUAAAAGGUAGUCUUCAAGUACCUUUGGUAUCAGAGGGGUCACCUGUUGAUGUGGCCUUGUUUUCUUGCUCCUGCUGACCAGGAGCAAGAGGUCAUGUGAGCCUGGAUGAGGCGGGGUGAAGUCAGUGUUGUGUCUGAUGCCCAUCUGUGCCUGGAGCAGUCUAAGAGCUUUGCAUUGACUCCUUUGGUUUUGUUGAGAAGCUUCUGACCUAAGAGAGCAGGUGAGCUUUCUCAAAUGAGAGACUAACAGAUGCUCCUGCUAUUAAAAGACAAAGCUAGGGGGGUUACUUUGGGCCUCCUGCUGUGGCCCCUGAGGAAGGCAACUCUCAGGUAAGACUGAGAAUAUACAGGAGCAAAACCACAGACACCCAGGACCUGCUCAGAGAUCCGCAGAAGAACUCGGUCUCUCUUCUAGGGAGGAUGUAAUUAGGGAUCAAAGUGUGCUAAGAAAAUUGCAAAGAAGCUUUACUGCCCACACCAGAAAGCUCAGGGUGGCUUUCUCUUCCAAGUAGAGCUAAAACUAUGUGUGUUUGGACUUCUCCUGGGGUGAGGGUUAGCUUUGUUCAUGACAAUAGAAGAGUAGCUUAGCACUGGUGGUCAGUUGUCCAGGGAGGCUGGGUUACUUUGUACGUUUGUGGCUUGCUGCCGAUCUGGUCUAUCCUUCCCCAUUUGCCUCAUUUGCUCUGGGUGUGAGACAUCUUGAUAAGAGCAGAUUUGGGGGCUGGCUGGGUUGGCAGGAAAAGAGCAGAGUGGAUCUCUAGGGAUGGGUUCCUCCCAGGAAUGUAAAAACAAGGGGCCGUGAUUGUGCUGGCAGCCAGGGAAACAGUAGUGCCUGCUGAAGUUGGCAGAGAGGGCCUUGGCACACUUGCAUCCAGGCAGUCUUGUGCGAUGGGCGCACAUAGCAUCGGGGAAAAGCAGAACUCCAUCCUCACCUCUAUUUUGAGCUUAGUGCUUUAUUUCAGUAUGAGGGAAAACAACAACACACUGAAGUGUGCUUUCCGUCCUUGCAAAGGACAACUUUCAGGAAAGGAGAGUGGAGGUGCUGGGUGGGAGGGGAGACUUGGCAAGGAGAGAAAUGGAUGUCGUGGCAGAGUCAGGAAAAGAGACAUUCUUGCCUCUUCUCUUCCCUGGUGUGCCAUGAUCCAGGGAAUGAAAAGAAAUUUGACCCUGGACUAGUCCCUUUGUUGGAGUUAAGGAACAUUACCUUUCCACAAGGUCCCCCUGGGAUAGGAUGGCUGUCACUCUAAGCUCAGGGCAGCCUCUUCAACUUCUGUCAGCCCAACCUGGAUUGUUAGGAAACCAACCCCACCCCUCAGCAUUGGACCUGACUGCUUUGUGUGGAACCAAGUAUUGGAGAAAAGGCAUCAGAUCUUAGCAGCUCCUGUAACUCCUGCUCUUUCCUAUCCCUCAGAGGCCAGGCUGACUUUGUGGCCACACCGUGCAUUCACAUCAGUGCUUGGCAAGGUAUACUCAAGGGGCUUGGAACCUGCUGGCCAGGGAAGCAGUAGGGGUGGAUAGAGCUGUCUUUCCUUCUGGGCUGUCUCCAUCGGUCUCUACCCUUUCCAUGCCCCACCCCACUCCCACCAAAAAAGUAAAAAAAUCAGGAUGUUUUUCACUGUCC
ensembl:lncRNA